AGAGUUUGAUCAUGGCUCAGAACGUACGCUGGCGGCACGCCUAACACAUGCAAGUCGAACGAAGUAGCAAUACUUAGUGGCAGACGGGUGAGUAACAUGUAGGUAUCUACCCUUUGGCCUGGAAUAACACGAGGAAACUUGUGCUAAUACCGGAUAAGUCUUUACGGAGAAAGCUUUAUGCACCAUUGGAUGAGCCUGCACUUGAUUAGCUAGUUGGUAAGGUAAAAGCUUACCAAGGCAACGAUCAAUAGCUGUUCUUAGAGGAAGACCAGCCACAUUGGGACUGAGACACGGCCCAGACUCCUACGGGAGGCAGCAGUGGGGAAUCUUGCACAGUGGGGGAAACCCUGAUGCAGCGAUGCCGCGUGAGUGAAGAAGGCCUUUGGGUUGUAAAACUCUUUCGUCGGGGAAGAAAAUGACUGUACCCGAAUAAGAAGGUCCGGCUAACUUCGUGCCAGCAGCCGCGGUAAUACGAAGGGACCUAGCGUAGUUCGGAAUUACUGGGCUUAAAGAGCUCGUAGGUGGUUAAAAAAGUUGAUGGUGAAAUCCCAAGGCUCAACCUUGGAACUGCCAUCAAAACUUUUUAGCUAGAGUGUGAUAGAGGUAAGUGGAAUUUCUAGUGUAGAGGUGAAAUUCGUAGAUAUUAGAAAGAACACCAAAUGCGAAGGCAACUUACUGGGUCACUACUGACACUGAGGAGCGAAAGCAUGGGUAGCGAAGAGGAUUAGAUACCCUCGUAGUCCAUGCCGUAAACGAUGUGUGCUAGACGUUGGAAAUAUAUUUUUCAGUGUCGCAGCGAAAGCAUUAAGCACACCGCCUGGGGAGUACGACCGCAAGGUUAAAACUCAAAUGAAUUGACGGGGACCCGCACAAGCAGUGGAGCAUGU
rnacentral:rRNA from 1 species